GCUGAGUAUGCCACACAUGGAUAUGAUUAUUCCCCGUAUGUUCUUUUUGGCAAUCCACUUCAUCACUGACUCAUCUGUGUAUGGGUUCCAAAGUUUGGCCACAACUAGCUUGAUUCGGAGACAUUUCGUAUUAGGAGUUAAACUUUGGUUUGGAGGCAUUGAGCUUUGCCAGUAACUAGCUUUGUUACUUGGUAUACUUCUGUCAGCAUUCAGGAGCCCCGUAGUUGUGUAGCGGGUCGCGGGAGAGGCAGCUGGUGAGUGCGAGCUGGACGGGAAAGUGAUGCCUGUGAUGGCGAACCAUGCCGGCGGGCAAGGCAGGGUCGACGCUCUAAAUGUACUGCCUGACAGCUUGUCUUAGUCUUAAUAAAAGUGCAUAUCUGCAGCAUCCUUUCAUUUAUUUGGCAUAUCCUACUUUAAAAAAUAUCCUUGACUCGCAUCGAUUUCA